UACAUGGGGUGCAAACGUUGCUCGGAAUUAUUGGGCGUAAAGCGCGCGUAGGCGGUUAUUUAAGUCGGAUGUGAAAGCCCUCGGCUUAACUGAGGAAGUGCAUCCGAAACUGAGUAGCUAGAGUACGAAAGAGGGUCGCGGAAUUCCCGGUGUAGAGGUGAAAUUCGUAGAUAUCGGGAGGAACACCGGUGGCGAAGGCGGCGACCUGGGUCGAGACUGACGCUGAGGCGCGAAAGCGUGGGGAGCAAACAGG
rnacentral:rRNA from 1 species